CCGCCUUCGUCUAAUCUGUCCGCCAUUUUUGUCUACUAUGUCCGCCUUUGAAAAUCAAAAUCGCCAAUUUCGUCUACUCUGUCCGCCAUUUUCGUCCAAUAUUCUUGAAAGAUCCGAAAUUGGUUGAAAACAAGUCUAAGAGCUUGCAUAAUCUUCUAACAAUGAAUAAACAAAGUUCGAAGAAGCAUAAAACAUAAAAAGAGGCACAUGCAAAGACACCCAAGAAGAGGGGUAGAAAGCUUGCAAUGGCCAUAUCCAGACCUCCACUGCCAUCAAUUGGGCAGCAUUGGAUGCAUAUAAAGACAAGAAAACUGGAGAACUUUUGGGUCCACAACAUUCGUUUAAUGUGGAGUUUGCUCAAGACAACAUGCAACAAAUAAGUGAUAGCCUAAUUUCUGAGUGACAAAAUCAACAUGUCAUGUAAUAGUUUUGAGAGUAGCUAUCUUCGCAAAAGAUAUGCGAUACUUUUAUUGAAGUAUGGUCUCGACAAGAUGAAUGCUGGAUAUGUUAGCAACAGUGAUGACCCUCCAAGAAUGAAGAAUGUAUUAAACCCAUCAUCUGAAGAUGAAAUUGUUAA